GACGAACGCUGGCGGCGUGCCUAAUACAUGCAAGUAGAACGCUGAAGAGAGGAGCUUGCUCUUCUUGGAUGAGUUGCGAACGGGUGAGUAACGCGUAGGUAACCUGCCUGGUAGCGGGGGAUAACUAUUGGAAACGAUAGCUAAUACCGCAUGAAAUUGCUUAUCGCAUGAUAAUUGAUUGAAAGAUGCAAUUGCAUCACUACCAGAUGGACCUGCGUUGUAUUAGCUAGUUGGUGAGGUAACGGCUCACCAAGGCGACGAUACAUAGCCGACCUGAGAGGGUGAUCGGCCACACUGGGACUGAGACACGGCCCAGACUCCUACGGGAGGCAGCAGUAGGGAAUCUUCGGCAAUGGGGGGAACCCUGACCGAGCAACGCCGCGUGAGUGAAGAAGGGUUUCGGAUCGUAAAGCUCUGUUGUAAGAGAAGAACGGGUGUGAGAGUGGAAAGUUCACACUGUGACGGUAUCUUACCAGAAAGGGACGGCUAACUACGUG
rnacentral:rRNA from 1 species